rnacentral:rRNA from 1 species
AUGUGGGCUGCAAGCUGCAACGAAGUGGUCCGCAGCAGAGAGGAAUCGGUUCAGAAGAAAAAACUAACACUUGGUCAUGGGCAUGAGGCAAACCUGCAGUUAGUAGCAAAAGCGAUGAUGCCAGACCGCCACCUACAACUGUGCUCCCGUAGCUACUAUGACCACUGCCGAUGGAGGCCCUUGCCGGGAGACCCAAGCACCUGGGAGGUGGGCUGCAACACAACAGUUGUGCACUGCACGCGCAUGUGGGUGGAAGUUGGAUGGUAUGGCACUAACCGCCGCCCGCCAGAAGUGCAGUCCGUCGAGUAG